GGGAUGUUACAUGCAGUAAUACAGGCCUUACAAAUGGGUAUAUAGUCGCAAUUCACACCUGACUGAGCAAAGGACUAUCAAACGACUGGAGAGGCUCAAAGAUGGCAGAGUGUGUGUGUGCAUAUGUGUGUGUGAAUGUGUGUGUGUGUGUGUGUGGGUACCGGACACUGAGUCUCUUGCAGUGUGUGGAUGUACCAUAUAACUCUGUGCUAUUCUUGUGCCUGCAGCUCUGAGAAAAAAAAUGCAAUUUUAGGAUUCAUUGCAGAGUGGUGAUGCACCAUGCAGCCCCACUUGUAUUCCAGGAGAGUAAACAAGCAAGUUUCAAUCUUGGGCUGACCCUGAUACUGAACAAGAGAGAGCUGUAGGUUUCCUGCAAUCACAUGCUACAUCCUCCAACAAAUGAGAAAGCUACCUGUAAGUAGUAAACAUGAAAAAUGUCACAGAAUGCCAUUGUGACAUUGAAAAUACCAUAAGGCCCAGCGAGGUUAGCAUGAGCUCAUUAUUGGUUAUCAUAAACGCAUGGAGGCAUGUUGCACAGGUACAUUACCCUGACACUAUUAUAGGAUGCGAUUACGGCAAAGUGCAAUCAUGUCACAUAUCCUGAAGAUUAAGCAGUCUGGAGCCUACAUAGGAAGACUUUUAAGAUAUUCAAAUAAGAGAUACCGAGAAUACUGCAAUUAUUUGGGAAAAAAUGUCAAGUAUAAAAAGGGAAGUGAGAAUCCUGGCUGCAAUACCUUUGACAAUUCAAAUGCAAAUUAAGUCCAGAAGCAUAAUAUUCAUGCAGGAAAUAACAAUAAAGCAAAGUGCCGUUGAGUCACCAAAUCUCUAAGAAUAUCUCAAAAUACGUUCCUCCACAGCGAUAGGAAGAUGAAUAUCCUUUCACACUGCUUUUGUGGCAUUGUUUACUAUACUGUGCCAUCGUAGCCUAUUGUGCAACAAUCUCAUAGACUGCCCUGUCAGACAAUCCGCUGUAUCCUGUUUCAUUAUCGAUUUGACACAUAGACUGCGAUGCAAUAGCCUACAUUUGACUAGUGACCUGUUUGUCAUUUUCAGUUAAUUGUCAGUCAGCUUGAGGCUAAACAGAAUGCAGACUCUGAAAGUCCUUUUUAGAGGGUCAGAGCAAGGCUGAAGUGUAUAAGAAAACCCGCUGGACCAAUAACCAGUCUAACAUGGCUCCGAAGAGAAUUGAAACUUUGCAGUAAGCCAUGUCUUAAUGUUCUUUUUUAUGGUGAAUUCAGUGAACCACUGUGCUGCAAUCUCAAGUUUGUAUUGAUUUUUUGUGCUUUUUUAAUUUACUGUGUCAUUAAAAAAGUUUGAAGGGCAAUCUGGUCUUUUUCUCUGCCCAGUCACCUUUAUCUCCCUUUAAGAUUAUGUAAAUAGCAUCUCUGUUUCAAGAGAUAACAGGUUGAGUGAAAGAUAGUAAGCAAAGUGGCAAAGUCAUGAGUCAGAUUAUCAUCGGCAAAGACAGCAGCAGGUGUUACAGUUUCUACAGAGCACAACAAAAGGUUAGCUGAAGAGUUGGAAAUAGAAUAUUCAACCACAGAUGGUUUGAUGAUCAGCGCAUCACGACUUAACACUUCUACACCCUUAUCAAAGAGAACAAGAGUAUUCACAAUGGUAUCAUUUCAUGUAUCUUUGUAUGUUGUUGUCGAGCAUGAAGGCUGUAUGUUGCAUGACAUAUCAAGUACAGAUUACACUGGUUUGUACUUCUAUAUAUGCUCCAUUUAUGUUUUCUGUUUUAAUUGUUAAGUAUUUAUUUUGCGUAAAUGUCUUAUCACACUGUACAGUAUCCCAGUGUACAGUACUGUAUUGUAUCAUAUCAUAUCACAUCAUAUAUCGUAUAAUAUUGUAUGCUAUUAUAUAGUAUUGUAUCAUAUGGUAUGUUUUAUAGUUUAAUCAUAUCGUAUCAUACCAUUUUACAUUGUAUUGAAUCCUAUUGUUUUAAAUUGUAUCAUCAUGUGUCGUUUGUAACAUAUAUUGUAUCAGAUCAUAUUGUAGCAUGAUACAGUAUCAUAUUGUAUCAUAUCAUAUUUUACGGUAUAGUAUCUUAUCAUAUCCUAUCAUAUAAUGUGAUAUCGUACUGUUUGGUAUAUCAAAUUGUAUUGUAUCAUGUUGUAUCAUAUUCUAUCAGAUUGUAUCGUAAUGUAUUGCGUUAUAUGAUAUCAAAAAGUAUCAUUUUGUAUUUUUAUCAAAAUAAAUUAUAUUUUUGCGUUCUGUCUGAGAACAAAUCCCACUGUAUUAGAAUAUAUCACAUUGUAUUGUUACACAUAUCAAUACAUGGCAGUACAUCAUAACCUUUAAUAACCUAACUUUACAUGUAGCAUCCUAUCACAAUGUUUCAUAUAGAAUCAUAAUGUAUCAUAUGUAAUCGCCGAUCAUAUGGCAUCAUAUUGUUGUGUGUUAUUGUAUUGUACCCCAUCAUAUUAUUUUGUACAACCUCCAGUUCUGCCAAAAAUGCAAAAUCAGAUUUAAUUGAGUCUGUGUAUCAAUCCUAUGCGUUACCAUCAUGGAGGUAUUUUUGCUGCCGCUUGAGCAGUGUUAAAAGAUAAUGCUAAUUCAAAAAUGUAAGAAACUGCAGCUCCCAAACUGUCCACUUGAGGCUGUCACCAAAAGCUAGGCAAAUUCCAUCUAAACCCAUAUCAAAAUGUCAAAUCAUACAGCAGGAUUUAACAUGUUUGCCAUCUGUCUUAAGAACACAGUAAUUCAUUUGCCUAAUUUCUUAAGACCUUUGUGGGGUGAGAAUUUUUAGAACAGUUUCUGCUGUCAUUACAUUAAGGCUAGAGUUAGGCAUAAUAACACACACAGGGGUGGGAGCAUUGUGGUCUGGACCUUUACAGAAGAAUCAGGCCACAGUAUCUUCUUUCAGUGGUGUGACUUGAAGAGGACACAAAUACCAACCUGUUCCUGAAGUGAAGGUACUUUUUUUUUUUUGCACCACACUUUGUUGCAAACUGCUUCUGUGCAAAUCAGCACUCAUGGCCCACUGGAGCCAGAAGGACAACGUCAGAUGGUGCCCUAAUACCUUCAUAUUGGAUGCUUUCCAGACAGUUUGGCUGGACCUCAUGUACAUGGAUAUCACAGACUGAUAUAGGGGCAUUGCACAUCAUUACUGGACUAUACAGCUCAACAUAAAGUAAAUGCGCGUGACCAAUGCCAAAAAGGUUAAUUCAGCUCUCAUAAAUCUUGUAGGAAGUACUUCAGGUUUAAAGAGGUACGGUUGUUACAAGCUGUGCAGAAAUCCACAAAAGAAGCACAGGGGGCUGGAUAUAGACUGUAAAACACAAUCUCCAAAGGACUUAACUUUGUACCUGAAUGAUUAAUCAUUUUUGGAUUGUGAUAAUGUAGGUCAGGUCCUCACUCUUAAAUAGCAAUUAAAAAUGUAAAGUUAGCACUGCAAGUUAGAUACCAAGAUAGAAUCAGCUUCCCUCAAAAAAUCUUGUUUCAUUGUGUAUUUUUCUGCCAAUUAUCAAAGCCCCCUCCUGUCUAGAUCCUGUGCUUAUUCUCAGCUUUAUGUCAAUUUGGGCAAAAGCAUCUUCUAAUUGAAAUGGUAACAUUAUAAUUGCAGGGACACACUGUCUGACAGUUGCUGUGUUAACUUUCUGGUCACAAAUGGUUUAAAAGCCUGAACUGAAUAAAAACUGAACCCUCUGAGACCAAAUGAAAUUUCAUUUGGUCUCAGAGGGUUAGUAUAAACCUUUUCAUAAACCAAUCAAAAUGUGAAAAAAAAGUUGAUUACUUUGGGAGCCCUGGCUUUAUGAAAGCACUUCCAGAGAGGUGUAAGAGCACUAGUGUACUCCAUGAGCACUAUCUAUUGAAUGCUCAAUGCAUACAGUGUAACUUAUAGUCCUGGUUGUUUUGAGGUUGCAGAUCUUCAAACAUGGGAUGUCAAUGCAAUAAAUAAAUGCAAUAAAGGGAAUCAGCUGAUGACAAGAUCUUUACUUGUCAAUGACUUCUUGAUAAACAGGCUUUUAUUUUGAUAGCAGCUGAUUUGUACAUGUGUGAUGAGUUAAUAUAAGAAAAGAUAAGAUGAACUUUAUUGAUCCCCAAAGGGAAAUUCAAUCUUACAUACAUGAGGUUGUCAUCAGAUUCAGUCAGAGAAUUCGCCACACAGGCCUGUGAGAUAAAAAUCCACCCUGACUCUUAUUUCCAAGUACUUAAUUUUUACAUGAUUACUGCUGGUCACUAACAACAAAUGCAGUAUAUUUACCCUGUCUUUCUGAGGCAUUUUGUCCUUCCUCAUGUGGGUUUGAGCUCUGCUGUGGCUUGGGGAUACCAGUUCUGGCAGACGUGCUUGGCUUCCAUUUGUAUGGGAAUGUAUGUGUGUGUCUAAGUGUCUAUGUGUGUUAGGGACCUGCUAAGGGAGGGAGCAGAGGGGUGUUACCAGGUCACCAAACAGCUGUCUGGGAGACAGAAUGGCCGCAAGGGGUGAGCGAAACACACACAUCCACCCACAUACACUCACACACUCACACACACACACAUACACACACACACUCAAAGAGAAAGAGAAAGGAUAGAUAGGCGCUUAUAUGCAACAGCAUCUAUCACCCCAAACACACACCUCAACACAGCACACGGAGAUCAAUCAGUUUCUUUUACAUUUCCUGAUCUUUUUAUUGAGAGCAUAAUUCUUUGCUUCCUGUAGUUUUUCAGAUGCAGUAAUCUGAUAGUAAAAAAUCAAUUCCUCAUUUCUUCCUCUUCCACAAAUACACAAGCACACAAACACACACAAAUCUUCACACAUAUGGUGCUCUUUGGUGCUUGUCUUUGUGCUUGAUUAAAAGCUUCAUUAGGCAAACAACCCAGUAAACAUUAAAUACUAAAUAUCCCAAAAUCUUCACAGAAGACAGAUAAAUUGAGUAUGGUGUUAGUUCAGGCAGGCUUUGGAUUUUAUGUAUACACACAAACAGAUCUACAUACAUAUGCCAAAGGGUAGAGAGCUCUCAGAACAGAGCUCUACUAUCAGAUAAAACUUAUUGUGGGGAAUAUGAUACUGUAUGAUCUGUAGCUAAUGAAAGUGAGUUAUGGAAAACACUUUACUUUAGCUUGUUUACACUGCGUGUAAGAGAAGAGAAAGAUGGAAAGUAAAGUUUCUAUAGUGAGGAAGAAAAAAGAAGAGAACUCAAGGACAUAACUGGAAUUGCUUUUUUGUUCUGAACACUCAUGAGAGUAGGUCUCUGUUGGCUCUCGCACAAUUUAAUUUUCUGUUAGAUGUAUCAUUUUUUCAUCCAAUGACAUUUAUUGUGAAAAACACGUAACACUUUGUGAUCCAACAAAGGCUUAAGGAAGUGUACAUUGCUUUAGGUUGCCAAGCAAAUCUAAACUGCACAUUCAGUAAACCUGCACUCUCUCUGAUACCAAAUAGGAACAGUUCUAUCAGAUGGAAAACAGUCAAAUCAUGCACUGUAGAAAUCUAUUAGAUAAUGAGCCUACUGCUUCAUUUUUUAACGUCUCAGUUAACAAUUCCCCAAUGGUUUUUUGGUCUCAUUAUAUGUGAGCCUUUCCAGUGCAGCAUGGGGUCCGUUUUGUGAGUAUUGGUCUCAUUUAGGGAAAUUAAAAAUCAUACAGGCAAAUGCUUGAGGUUGUAGCGACCUGACUAUGAAGACACUACAACAGCAACUGUCAAUCAGAACAAAGAUAUUUUUUGCACACUUACCUUCUUAUCCAAGGUCUUCUCAGGUGAAAAGUCAAGAUGGAAAUACAGAAAAAAUGUACAAAUUAGGCUUUAAAAUGUCUUCCUGACACAAAUUGAUGUUUUACUGACUGUGUGAACUGUAUGGUGCAAGAUAACAAGUGAUUAAUCAAACAUAAAUUGAAAAAAAAAAAACCUACAGGUUAAAUGAGGCAUUUAUUUGGUGACUCUCAACAUUUUAUAGUGUAGAAUCAUUUCAUGUCCCCUUAAAUUGAUAUUAAUAAUACUUUAAAAAUUAGCUCAAAAAUUAUCUGUGAAAUUAAUGAGGUUUAGCCACAUGUUAGAAAUGUCAUUGUAAUGUAACCGAUGAAGUGAGACAAUUGCUCUUAUUCGUAUUUUGUAAAGUACAAGAUGUUAGGUACUUUGUAUCCACCCACACCCUCCGCUGAGCAUUUCCACACUAAGCACCUAUAAGCCUCAUUAGCUACCAAUGCAAUAAUAUGAAGAGAUCAGGAAUUGUUCCGCUUCCUUGUGCAGCAUGACUUCAUCCUUGAUUGUUACUGCGCCACUGGUUGCAUCAUGAAAUUGCAGUAGUGACCUUUUAUUUCCUGCAUGUCGGCAUAGUUUACUCUGAAAACUCUUCAGCAUUUGCCUCUCCAUGCCAUCACAACCAAGGUUCAGUUGAACAAAAGACGCUGCUCUUGCUGGGGAAUGUCCUGUUCUCCCUUUGAAAUCUAAGUGUCAUUUAUGAAAUCCUACCUCUUACUUAAAAAAAAGAGGUAUUUCUUGAAAAACUAGGAGUGCACCAUUGUUUCAUUUGUCUCCAGGCUUAUCAUUGUACCAAAAGUAGCCUUGGGUAGUAUAGGAGGUAGAAUGGAUUGUUUAGCUCCUUUCACUAAUGUACAAUACAGAGCAUUUUCUUCUUUUUAUGAUUAAUUCUAUUUCAAUUUGUAUGUCUUUUUAAAAUUUGAUUCAAUGGUACAUUACAUUAUGUAUUAAUAUAAACUAUGAAAAGUAAUAUAUGUACUUUCCAUCCUGUCUUGCACAAUGUGCAGAUAACAAAGCAGUGGCUUUGAGACAACUCUGAAUGUCCUUGAGUGGCCCAGCCAAAGCCCAGACUUGAACCCAAUUGAACAUCUCUGGAGAGAUCUGAAAAUAAACAAGCGCUCCCUAUCCAACUUGAUGGAGUUUGAGAGGUCCUGCAGAGAAGAAUGGGAGAACCUGCCUAAAAGUAGUUGUGCUAAGCUUGUAGCAUCGUACUCAAAAAGACUUGAGGCUGUAAUUGCUGCCAAAGGUGCAUCUACAUGCGAAUUUGGCUCCAAUUCCCUUAUAACAAUGUCAACAAAAGCCUGAUUAUUGGUUGGUUUUAAAGAUUAACAUGCAAAGAAACCUUGUGAUGUGAGGUGUGUUAAGAGUAAUUCUUCUUCCUACGAUGUGUAUGGAGGACAAUAGGAGCCCCAACGGCAAGGAUUCCUGAUCAGAGACAAUCUGAACCCCAAGGACGGCAAAACAUGCAUGACUCUGUCCAUGGAGAAAGAUGGUACAUAAAGGAAAAUUAUAGUUGUAAAGCAAGCUAACUGGAGAAGAUAGCAUAACAAAUGCAGAAUAGUCAAAGUGAAGCAUAAACUUAGAUGGAUGUCAAAAAAAGAGAACCCACUUGUUGAUACAUCGCAACAAUAAAACACGUUAGGUGGAGCAAACCAGUGAAUGACAAGGGGGAAGUGUUGAAAAGAAAUUGCUAUUACAUUGGAUGUAACAGGAAGCUAAGCAUGUAGCAACAAUUAGCUCCUGUGGUCUGCCAUGUUUUUUCCUCUUGAUUGAUUGUGAGAGAUUUUUGAGAUUUCCAGUUUUAAGUGUAAGAAAUCCAUCUUCUGGUUAAAACUAUAAGAAACUAAACUACAGGAAAGGAAAUGUUCAAUCUGUCAUCAUUUGUCGUUAUGUGUGAGGUCUCUGAUGUUUUUUUAAAGAUUUUGACAUGUCAGGUGUUCAUGUCUGUUUUUGUUCCACCUUCUUCAGGUUAAAUCACCCACCAAAAAGAUCAUCCAUUCAUUAUCCUACACCCACAACUAUUGGCCUUCUCCCCUCUGCCUGGUUUAUCUGGGAUCUAAACAGCUUUAAUAGAGGAUAGGAGAGAUGUACUGGAGUUUUAAGAAAGAAAAAAAAAAAACGUCAAAUGCAAGGAGGUGGGGGUGCUGAUCUGGAACGUCAGUAAGUUGAAGCAAAGGUCAAGGAGGCACAGCACAGUCUCCCAGCUAAACUAGCUAAAUUAGUCAUCUCACUGAAAAAAUGAUGACACUUUACUCUGUGAUACGUUAGCCACAACAAGCAGGGCUGAUCCACCACCCCGGAGGACACAGCGUUACAUUCAUAGAGCUUUAUUACCAGACAGGAACCAUCAGACUCCUAGACCUCUUUCUCAACAACACAUCAGAUAUAGGAGUUGUUCUAUAACAUGUUCUGUAUCAGUAGUUAUCUUGUGUUGAAUUAAAGGUUCCAAUGAGGAUGCACAAAGAGGUAUGACAGUCGUGCUUGUCAAGAGGCUAGAGGCUAGACAGUUGUCAUGCUCUGUGUAUCACAACACCUUCCUCAGAUAGAAUCAUGUCAUCAUAUUCAUAAUGAAAUUAUUUUUAUGACCACAACCAUGAUUUCCUCUGAGAGCUUUUGAGCAAGUAUCCCUGUGAGCUGGCGGCUGAGCCCAGACACUCCGCAAUAAGGAGUCACUUUGAGUAAUGUCGCCAGUGGCAUUUUAGUUUGUUGUUUCACCAUAUUUGACUCCAGUAUGUGGGUACUUUUGGUUUAGUUUCGACAAAGAGGUUUCAUUUGGAAAAAGGCCAUUGCCCAGUCCAUACAGACUGCACGAUGCUUUGAUUUUUGUAACCCUUUUGUUUGAGAGAAUUCGUCACAUCUACACAUUGCGAAUCCUCAUUCAAAGCACCUCAGCACCUGAGGCUUAAAAAUGCCAGAUUGGACUAUUGUUGUCCAGCUAAAGGGAGGUGAGGAUCAUUUGAAUGUGGGGCAGCUGUGAUCUGCAGCCAGGUAAAAAGUUUAAAAAUAUAUAUAUUUAUAUAUCUGAUACUACAAUCCAAUGCUGGUAGACAGGAAAGCUGAGAAAGAGAGUUUAGCGUGAUGGAAAUAGUAAUGGAAUAAAUGCUGUGAUAUAGAUAGAACAAUGAGUCUGGCUUAUCUUGGAGGAAAAUCUUGACCACUGAUACUUGUUUUUGGACUUGACUGGUAAGUUGGGACAAUCAUUCAUUUAUUUUUCCAACGACUGAGGGUCCUUACACAAUGGGACCGACUGAGAUAUAUGACGCAAAAUUACAAAUUAUUCAGAGGCAAAUUUUGACGCGCCUGACUAUACACAUCAAGCCCGGUUUCCAGGGGGAAAAAAGGCGUGUCCCGGAUGGAAGCGAGAAGACUGACACAACACCAGACUGACUGUUUUCAGUUCUGAUUAGACACUAGUGUUGAGAUGGCUGUCUGUCAUGGUAGCAUGUACUGAGUCAGGGCCAGUACCAGAUAAGCACAUUAAACUAUAAUCCAUAAACGUAAGGUAACAACCGAGGCCUAAUGGUGCUGUGACAGCAACGCGAUUGAGUUUGAGACAGUGAAAAUACAUAUGGUAUGUUGUAUCUGAACAGGUUAGCUUACGAGCUAAAGUUACUUAGCACUGAUGAAAGUUAAAACAAAGACGUUUAGUAAACUGUUAAAGCACACAAACCAUCGUCAUAUGAGAAAUCCGACGCUAUGACUCUCCACAAGUUGUCCUUCCGGUCGUUAUCUUUGUGAUGUUUGUGUUUUUAAUCAAAAAGCACUCUGUUCUCCAACAGGUAAACAAUCAGACGGUUGGCCAUGUUGGAUAUACUGGUGAAUCAGACGUCGCAACAACACGCAAUCUGAUUGGUAAUAAGUGGACACACAGUAUGCGAAACUUUAGAAAAAUCAAACAUGAUCCGAAAAAAUAAAUGCCACAAUAUCGCAGGAUGGGAAAACAUCGCUGAUGUGAACGCUUGUAUUGACAGGAUACAGGUUCGAAAAAAGUAUUGACGUCUGAAAUAAUCGCAAGAAAAAAAAACGGUCCCGGUGUGUAAAGACCUUAAAGAGAGCUGUCUGACCCAGCUGCAUUGUGACUUGGACAUAGUGUCAAGUGCUGAAAGAAAGCCACGUGGGAUAGUGUAAACUAAAGCUAGUAGGCAGCUGCUAGCUAGAGGGAGUCAUGUGCCGCUAUUUCAGUUAUAUAGGAAGAAUCUGCUUUGAGGUAAUGUUUUGUUGGUUUUUUUUAAACUUUAGCAUUGAAUCAUUGGAAUUGGAGUUCUUUGUGCUUCUUGGUGGUUUCUGUACACAUUUGAUUUUUAUAGUUGUUUGCAAAGUUAAAUGUGGUCAGUCAUUGGCAUCUGUGACAAACAACCUAGCCCAAUGAAUCCUCAAAUCACAAUGUAUUGGUUGUGUAAGCCUAGUUCAAAUUAGUGUUGGCACUUGGGUGUAACCUCAAAACAAAAAAAUAAGUAGACACCAUAUUUUAUUAGAUGGGAAAAUGUUCAUGAUAUGACAACUGACUAAUAAAAAUAAAGGCUGGUGCUUCUGGGGAUUUGAUGUCUAGUUGGAGGGAAAAGUGGUUCCUCUCAACAGCAGAGAUGUACACCAGGGCUUUGAAACAAGAGUUCACUGCCCUGCUGCCAAUCUGGAUGCCAGGUUUAUUUUGUCAUUUUAAAAGUGUUGCCCCAAAGGACAAAGCUGCCAUCUCACCUCCUGAUCAAGCUACUUCACAAGAUCGCAGCAGGUGCUAAAGGAAACUUUUUCAGGAAAGAUUGGUAUGACUAAUAUUGUGUUGGGUUAGGCUGAUCAGCCAGCAGGGAUGUCCAGUCAGAGGUGGAUGUUUCAUGGGACUAUGGAAAUGGGAGAUCUGGCUUGGCUGACAGCAGACUGGUACCAGGUGACUUCCUUGCUUAAAGAGUAUAUAGAUGAGGUAACAUAUGGAGAUUCAUAUGUGUGGCUAUCUGCAAGGCUGGCUUUUAAAACCAGGCUUCAAAGAGAGUAUACGCCCAAAAGCAUAGCUAUAUCUUGAAUGCUCACUCAGCCAAAGUCAGUCUUUAAAUACAGCUGUGACUGGCUAAUUUCAAAGCUGGGCUCUAACCCUAAAUCUAUCGUUAACACAUCAAGUAACAGCUGAAAUGAACACAAGGCCAAGACCGAUUUUAUUACAAAUAGGCGGUGAAUUAAAAUUGAAUUUGCAACGGUAAAUCCAUCAAGCAGUCAUAGGAAUAAAUUAAUAUUGACAUUUUAAAAGAAAAGCUAUUAGCAGGAACUGUGUUGUGUCAGAGGAGGAGGGGAGGAGGGUUGAUGUUUUUUCCGAGUCUGUCAUCUUGACCUUUAUUUCACAGAAGAGCACAUUACAACUGACAUUGCUUCUCCAACAGACACACUCAUAUCAUCUGGUUUGCACACACACACGCUCUAACACAUACUAGAGGCUGUUCAGCCUGUGAAAUGUUGUUCAACUAAGAUUAUCAUGUGCAGCAGCACCAUCUAGUGGACAAUCUGAAAUUCACAGAUUAAAUCUCAAGGGUUUUUAUUUUACUGCAGGCUGCUGUUAGUUUAGACCAGUUAUAUGAAAUAACCAUCUUUUUUAUGAUGUAAAUGGUGUCGUAAAAGACGUGAGAGAUCAUCAUAUCUUUUCUGGCACAAAAAAGUGCACAAAAAGUGCACAAAAUGCUGGCACAGUUACCCUUUUCACAAAAAUCUGAGGUUAGAAAUCAAAGUGAUUUAUAACCAUUUACUGUCUAGAGUGGACUCUACGUCACUGCCAAUCUGACAUUCAAACACUUCCCUUUGUGGUUCAGAUCCUGUCCUAAAAAGGCAGGUUUGUUUGAGUGGCAGCUUAUAAUUUUUGUGUAGUUGAAGCGGCUGUUCAAGACAGAAAGUAUGGUGGCCCUGGUCAACAAACCAACCAUAUCACAUCAUCAUCAACGACAAAAAAACCUCAUAUAGAAAUUCACAAAACACCAAAUAUGAAAUUGAACAAAUCUGUUUCACAGAUUUCAAAAUGCUUUGUCAAAGACUUGGUCCUUAAUUUCAUCACAGCAACUCUAAAGGAAUUGCAUAUAAAUAAAUAGAAAUGUCAUGAUGGAAAAUCUGGAUGAAAAACAAAAUGAGCUGGGCACUGACGGUCCAUCGGCAUAGGUACCGCACCCCAAAGAGGCCUUAGUCCUUGUUGCAGCAGCCGCUGGUAAAAUGCCUGACUGUGACCCUCUGUUGUGUACCCCCCUCCCUGCAGCUGUUCUAACUGAUAAAAUUUGACAUAUAUUGAGUGGUAAAUUGAAUAAAACAGAUUUAGAGCUAAUAUUUUCAAAUGCAGCCUGUUUAGCAUAUGGUGUAAAACAUUAAAUCUGCUUCCCAAUGGUUGAUUUUAACAAGUUGUCUUAAAAUGAAGUAAGAAGUCUACGAAUACCAAAAAGUCUAAUUUCAUUAUAUUUGUAGAAAAUAAGGAAACUGACAAAGAGCAAACAAAACUACAUAUUAGAUAUGAUCAGAGAUACACUCAGCUCUACCCCUGUUCAAUCCCUGUUCACAUCGUAGUGUUGACUUUCUCCAGCUGGUGGCACCCUCAUCCACAGAAUGUAUUCUAUCACAGGCAACCUUUCAAAGUUUCAUUAAAAACACCCCUUUAAACCCAUACGAACAGCACAGUUAAGGUAGCCCUAUUCUUUCAAAAAUUGAAAUGACACAGCAAUAAGCAGUUGUCGCAUUAGAUAAAAUAUCAAAGUAUGGUUAUAAGGACAAUCAGUAAAUAAGUUCACAUUUAAAACAAGCCAUGUAUUUGUAAACAAGCUGGCUAGUUUGAUGUAUUAUAGAUGGUUUUUAUGAAAAUAUAUUUUGGAAUAAGCAAUUUUUUUGUCCUUGCUGGUC